GGCAGAUGGGGAGUUUCAAUAGACUUCAGGGGAUUUGCCCCAAUCAGACUGACAUUCUGGCUGGGAAGAGCUCUGGAGUUGGGGCUGCCCCCCCGCCUCCACCCCGCGCCUCCCAGCUUCAUUCCGACUCGCCACCCACCUACACAAUGAAGCCACCGAGUAAAACAUCGUGUUACAGCAGUAUCUUUCCACACUCGCCCCGAAACCUUACCCCUUCUAAUCGCUGACACGUCAGUUGUCUGCUUAGUGACCGUUAUAAUACCGAAAAUUCCUUUAUUUAGCUUGCUUGAGAUGAAGUCAUGCAGCUGUAAGAGUGACUCGCAAAACAAAAUCAAGGUCCAUUCUCAGUUAAAGGGGCCGUGGAAAGCCUUGAGUCCUUAAUGGUAAAACUCAUUCUCCGUCUAAUUUCAUUAGAAAACUGUCACAGUGCUUCCAAAUUUUCAGAAGAGUAAUUUGUAUUUACCAAAAAGCAAAAUACACACAGUGUUCAUUUGGCAACUUAAAGACAUAUACUUGAAUCUGUCACACUUGGUCUUGUCCUUUAAACAGAUGAAAAGUUGGCCUCGUCAUAUCGUAUUUCACUGCACGCACCAACUCACCCUUCACCCUCUGGAAUUAUGCACUUUGCUGGGUGUGCUGAGCCAUCACUGGGCGUUUUUCUCUCCUCCUGCCAGUGCCGUGGUGGUCAUAACCUUCCUCUGUCUCUUUCAUGGGGUGGUUGAGAAUACCAGAUGGAUGCAUCCACCGAAGUACUUCAAACAGAGCCGUGUGGACCUGGAAUAAUUCGCUUGGGACAAACCCUUUGAGUAAAAGAAAGUCAGGGUUCCAGCACCAGCUCUUCACAAACCAGAGGCCUCAGGCAUGUUAUUGACUUCCACUGGCAUUUUUCCUUUGUCUGUAUUUGGUAUGACUGCACCUGUGCCCUCUAUUUCCAAGGAUGCCAUGAGGAUAAAGUGAGAUAACACCUAUGAAACUUGGCUUUGACAACCACAAAGAAACCACAACAAAUAUGUGGCACCCGCAGUGAGGGAAGAGGGUGGGAAUGCUCUGUGGUACGGAGGGACCACUAGACGCCUUCCCCUGCAGGGCACGCCCACCUGUGGCUGGCUCUAUCUUCCUUCUCCAGCUCCAGAACCACUGCAGCAAGUAUGUUUUUUCUUAAAGCGUUGAUUCAAGAUGAUGUUAGUGGGGUGGUGGAGGGUGGUUGCUGCUCUCAGAGGUCUACCGGGAAUGUAAGAGUGAUUGCAGUGGUGUCUUACAUUAUUUCAAAAUUAGUGUAUCUUUGAAAACAUUUGCAUUAAAAAAUCGAAUACCCCAAGUAUUGAAGUAACAAGCAACUUGCUUAAAGGUCUAAACUUCUCCAUUUACUUCUUCAUUUUAUUCAGAUUAGCAUGUUUUCUAUUUCUGUAUCUGAUUAUGGGCUUUAAACACAUUGUGCUAAAAUAGAAGAAGAAUUUAUUUUUCGCCAGAAUACAGGACCUCAAAGAAGUAUAAAAUUUGUUCCAUAAUGUUGUUCUACAAAGCUCAAUGGGUUUUGGACUACUAGAAGGUUCUGUUCAUCAUUUCCAAAGCAGGCUUUUAAAAACAGUGAGUCAUGUAAUUUUCUCAAAAAGUGAUCUAAUAUAUGAAGUGAUUUAGCUAGUGAAUUAGAUGACAGCAUGAGUUUAUCAAGACUGCAGUGGACUAGGGCUCCAUGGUAGCUUUGGAUCCGCUAGGAUCUCAGAUCUGCUAGGAGACGCUGCUGGGUGACGGAGCCCGCCCGUCUCUCUGGGCGUCAUCUCUCUGUCUGCUCUGGGCCCCUGGAUCACCUUCACAGCAGUCUGGGCAAGCUGGUCUAGAACGAGCCCUUCAGAGAACAAUGUCCUUAUCUACCAUCCUUACCACCGCACAGUCGUUGAAUUAAACGUGCCCAGCAGCCCAUUAAGGUAAAUGUGUCUGAGCCAUCGAUUUCUUCUGAAAAGUGCGCUGUUCUAUUUUCAUAUUUCAUGAAACCAAGGGAUGAGACAGAGAAAGACAGUAAAAUGCUCGAUGGACACAAAUCUCAGCUUGCACCGCAUUUGCUUCAGAUAGCAGUGAACUUGCCUGCCAGGGGUUGUCUCUUCUCCCAUGCCAAGCCAGAGUGGAAAAUAUUCCUAAUUUUAUUUAAUGGUGGAACAGAAAAAAUAUCUGAAUUGGAAAAUUUUGAAAACAGAAACAAUGUUUAACUGAUUUUUAAACAAUCCAACAACUGAGCAAGGAACUCAUGGUCCUCCGACAGAGGCUCUUCAGGACGAAUUAAACAAAUUCGUAAUAUUUAUCAAGAACGUUUGAUUUUUGCCCACAAGUAAGUGUCCCAGAAGUUCCUUAAGAAGAUUUUUUUCUUAAACAGAUUAUAUUCCUGAUCAACUUUUCCAGACUAUUAAUUUAACUGAAGACUCCUUCUUGCCUACAGUUUACUGCAAAGUCAGAGUGAUUAGUCUAGGUUGAUGAGGUUUGUGGUGUAUGAUUUUGAGUUAACAGUUCUAUACAUCACUUCAUCAUUUAAAAAACCUUUCAUAAAAAAGAUUUUAGGAAAAUAUGAUAAAAACUUAUUUAGACUUUACUAAGACUAUGAGAAAUGAAUCAUUUUGUGUGUGUGACCGAAGAGUUGCAAAGCUGUUUACAGUCACAACUUUGCUUCAAGCGUUAAGUUUUAAAAGAUGAUGGACAAGUGCUAAGACUUCACCCAGGACAACUGCCUUAACUAAUGACGAAAACAGAAUUAGCUGGGGUGUGGGCCACAGCAGGGAACUAUUUCUCUGGAGCUGUUGGGGGGAUUUUAAUGCUUCACUGACACCCACAGAAUGAAUUCCUCUCCUAAAACAACACAAGCUGACUACUUCAAGCUGAAUUUCUUUGUUUUCCAACCCAACACCCCACCCCCAAUCUCUUCACUAUAGAAAGACACACACUUAAAAACCAUCUGGGACUAUUUAAGAGAAUCACUCUAAAGCACAUUCAAUUGCUUGUCUUUUGAUGACAAGAGUCAAAUGUAAAAUGCAGAGUUAUAUUUCUGAGACUGACCUGCUGGGACGGCUGGUUGGGUGGUGGAGGUGAUAUCACAGAUUGUGUUUUGGAUGGAAUCAAAUGUGGUCUGUGACGCGAGGAGAAGUUUGUCUGAAAUACCCGGAGUGGGUGAUUGUGUGUGCUGAGCUCUUGGGGGUUGGUGAGGACCCCCCGGGAAGGGCAGGAAGCAAGCCAGUGGAGGGGUAAACAACCCAACCAGAGUAACUGGGGACGCCCAAAUUCCAUGGGUGGGGGCCCCCUGGGAAUCAUAAACCAGGGAGGGAGCAGAUGUAAGAGUGUGUGUGCUGGGGACAGGCCAGCCUGGGUUAGCACCUUAGAGUUGGAGCAGGAGGGGUGUGUGUGUGCUGGGGACAGGCUAGCCCAGGUUAGCAACCACAGGGCUGGGGUGGGAGCGGUGUCUGCUGGAGACAGGCAGAGGUAUCUGGGUUGUGACUCUGAGUCGCUAAUUGAAUAUUUCUUAAAACUUCUGGGAAUAAGAGGAGGGGAUACAUUAAACAGGCUUAUCACGAAGCCAAGCUUAUUGUCUAUCUUUGAUCAGGUCACAAAGUGGUCACGCUCUUGAGCGGGCGGGUGACUGCCAUCUGAGACUGUGUGAACUGCUCUGAUGUUGGGAACCAACCCACACUCAAGGGAAGGCAGUGCUGUCCACAGGUGGCCGAGCAGAGGGCCAGGUUGACCACCAGGAAAUAGAUUAGGAAUCGGAUGGGAUGUAGGGGGUUCCACUGGGCACCUCCCAGCAGACCAGGAGUCACUGAUGAGGCAGCCAGACAGGCGCGGGGCAGCAGGAAGGGCCCAGCGUGUCCCCUCUGUGUGACCUCGCCCUGAAGGCUGCAGGGCCCAAGAAGGGCCCCAGCAUGCUGGGGUGAGUGAAAGCUCAAAUGACAGAUGUCCUCAAACAGCCUGUUUCCACAAUUCCUGGGGCCUGCAAUGUGCUAAGGGAAAGAGAGGCUGAAGAGCUAUCUCUGUAUUGAAACACUUUGGGCAGUACUUGCCAAGACGCCGUGACUCAGGGGAGCAGAAGGCUGGCAGCUGCCACUAGGGAGACAGACAGAGGAGGCUGAGGUUUAGGUGCACGAGGAUAGAGAGGAAAGUGCAGGAAUUGCACCUUUUGGGUGUUUAUUCUAUGCCAGACACUGUGGUUAAGUACCUUAUGUACACUGUAGAAUUUAAUUCUACCAGCAACUUGCUGAGGGAGGAUUAUAAAUUCAUCUCACAGGGGAUGCAUUUUCCAAUAAAAAAAUUCAGAUCUCCUCCCAGGUUCCACAGGGACUGAUGGAGAUGAAUUUGAACUCCGAGGUGGAAGCUCCUCACCCCUGGGCGAAGGGCAGGUGCCAUCUGGGUUCUGAGCAAAUGACUUAAAAUGAAAUUCGGGGCUGGGCUUGGUGGCUCAUGCCCGUAAUCCCACUACUUUGGGAGGCCAAGGAGGGAGGAUCACUUGAGGUCAGGAGUUCAAGACCAGCCUGGCCAACGUGGCGAAACCCUGUAUCUACUAAAAAUACCAAAAAAUUAGCCCGGCCUGGUGACGCACGCCUGUAGUCCCAGCUACUUGGGAGGCUGAGGCAGGAGAAUCGCUUGAACCCAGGAGGUGGAGGUUUCAGUGAGCUGAGAUCUCAACACUGCACUCCAGCCUGGGCGACAGAGUGAGACUCCGUCUAAAAAAAAAAAAAAGAAAUUCAGGAACAGGACACAUUCAUAAGGCAGGAAGUGCCUGUUUCUCCUCCUUGACAAUGCACAAAGCAAAGUGUAGCUUCCGUGUCCCGAAGGGAAGGGCAGCACCUACCGGGGUAAGCAAUCUGAGAAGACAGAAAGGCUGAAGCGACACGGGGAUUAGAAGCCUCCAGGAGGAAGCCUCCAGUGAUCAGGCAGCCUUAGUUAAGUGUUCAAGCCCAGCGUCCUUUACCUCAGCCACUGAUCUUCCAAUACGAUUUCCCUGGGAGACACUUCUAUGAUCUAUCUGGUUACUUAACCUUUGCUUUUAUCUCUAAUAGGCGGUUUCUUUCAUGGAAUUUUCCAAAGGACUCUGUCUGAGAGAUGUUUUAACUAGAGCCCAUCAAUGCAUGGCAGACCAUCACCAGGGAGAAUCAAGUAUCACUCCAGGAGAAACAGGGCUGCCUUUAACAACUUAGGGAGGUAACAGGUGGGGAGGAAUGUGCUUUUGACUUCAUUUCAAAGAGAAAAAAAUCUUCGGGUAAACUCUCCACAAAGCAUUAGUGUCACUUUCUGUUUCUGAUCAUUGGUUCUAAAUGCUUAUUAAAAAUGCGUUGAUUUCCGAUUAUUAUUAUGGACACAUGUGGCUUAAACUUUGGUAAAAGGCUGAGCUAAGGUGGAUGGUGUAAGAAAGUCCAUCUUUGUGGGGACGCAGACGUUUUCAUACAGUCAGUUACGAUGCCUCUUCUCCCCAUCCUCCUUGUGCAUGUGAAGGCUGCUUUUGCCAUGCUAAGGGUCGAACGUGCUCUCAGGCAUGACAUGAUCCUGGAAGGCUCAGUCCCACACGUCAAAAGAUAAAGAGCUUUGUAAAUGAGAAAUUCCUUAACCCUUCCAAAGAACCAACAGAUGAAAAUUAUCUUUCCCUCACCCAAUUCCUAAAGCUGUAUCAAUCAGCAGGCAAGCGUAGGGUGGUCCUCACCACGUUUUAAAGAUUGGCGGGAGAUUCCAGGGGCCGGGAGGCCCCACCUACACAUUUUUCUAUUGCUAGAAAGCAACCACUCAAGGCAGAAACAAUCCCGAGGCCAGAAGAGCCCUCCAGAGGCUGUCUUCUAGGACCUGCUGCUCACUGUGGCACCCUGGGCAGCAGCACCACCAUCACCUGGGAGCAUUAGGAAUGCAGAGUCCCAGGAGCCCCAGACCUGCCUGAUCCAAAUCGGCUGAGUCAAACGUGCAUCCGUUCGGGCAGUGCUGCUCCGGCCCAUCUCUUCUGACCCCCAGCCAGGACUGGGGCUUCAUGUCCAGUAUGCUUUCUCAUGCAUUCAGGCGAAGAGACCUCCCCUCCCCUGUGGACUCAGAUCCCUCUCCUUGUGGAAGUGCCUUCUCAGGCAAGCUCCUUCCUCCAGUAGCCUCAAUAUCAAGAGCCCAGCAGGACAGGUGUCAAGAAGGAGCGAGUCCAGUUAUCGCCCACCAGUGGACAUUGGUGGAUGGUGACCACCACAUCCAGGGACUGUGUGAUUUUGGCCACCAGACCACCUUCCACAUUCUUACCCUUGACGCCCAUGAAGCUGAGUUUCUGGGAGUGCCAAGAAGGCCACUGGCCAACCUCUGCCUGCCCUGAAGAAAAGCACAGCUCAGCUCAUAGACUGCUCACUGGCCAGAUGCCUGGCUUCCCUUUGCAUUGAAGCUCAAGAAAAAAAAAAACCAUGCUAUUAAAUUGAAAUAGUUUGGCACUCUGUCUUGCAGUUGAAGCAUAUUUUGCAUUAGUUUGACUUUGCAGAUAAGCCAAUGUCUGUCUACCCAAUAAUUUUUUCGACUGUAAUUCAAAUCAAGUGAAACCAAUGAGAGAGGAACCUUCAGUUGACCCAAGGUGCACAUUUUUGAGGGCCAUGCCUUUCGCACUCAGCAUAAUGAUUUGUGUUGUGAUUCUGAACAAAAAGUCCCCAAACUACUUAGCUUCGGUCCUGGCCAGGAAUCUCGACUUUCCCUCUCUCUUUCCUCCCACCAGCUCUGUCUAUUGUGUGGCUUAGACUCCAGCUGCUACAGCAGAUGCCCAGCUGGGCGCUGGGGGCAGCGUGCCCAUGGCUUGGUCCCUGUCCUCAGGGAGCCACCUGGGGCCUGUGCUUAGAUUUGGUGUGGAGGAGGAAGCCCCUUUCCUUUGGAAUUUUCUGACUUCAACUCCACCUGCCCUUAUUGUAUGCAAUACUGCAGGUAGCAGGUAGGGGAAGCUGGCACUGGGCAUCCUGCAUGCUCUGUCUGUCUAGGAGAGGAGCCUGUGGGCUGGCCCCCAGCUUCCCAGACACUCAUUCUCUUCAGCUCCAGGUUUUACAGCUGCAGAGACAUUAUAUUUAGCAUGACUAACUCAAAAAAUAUAAAAGCAAACAGCAAGACGGCUGUCCAGCUUCCACAGGGGGGGCCCUCAUCCCGAUGCCUGACAUCAUCUCAGGCAAGGAACUGCCUGUGGAUGCGCUCCUCCUCCCAGGCAUCGGGGCAUCACCUGGUUAGAGCUCCCUGACCACAGAGGGUGCAACAGAAAUUCCAGAGUCACCAGUGGGCCUCUGAUGUCCAGUCAUAGGAAUCUAAGGCAGUGGGGCAGCAACAGGCCCUUGAACUCUGGGGAAUGUAGCUCCCAACCCCUGUGGUAUGGACUUCCCAUGGACUGACACCUCCCCUCAAUCAGCUGCAAGUUUUCAUAGAAUCAGUGGAUCCCUAUCUUUGUCUACUUGCUCCUCCUAGACUGUGCAACAGUGCCCAGGCUGGGUUGGUUGUAACAGCUGGUAUUGGGGGUCAUGCCAAAGCCUUCAAAAUGUAAAAAGGAGAUGGCAACACGCCCUUUGUUAGCCUCCUCUGGGCAUCCGCCCUCCCGCUCCAGCUGACCUGACUCGGGCGGCCUCAGUAGCCUCUGAUCAUGCUGCCAGCUGCGCCUGCAGAGAAACCUUAACUAUCUUAGGGUCCCCGUGGAAGAGUUAAAUAACACACUGAUUUAAUAAAAUUACUCCAGCAUCUAUGUGAAGGUCCUGUGCUGUGGGAGGACCUGGUGAUGAAUAAACCAAGUUCCCAGCCCUUAGCAACCUGAAGUCUAGCAGGGAAGAAGGGCAGUGACCAGAGGUGGACAUCGGCUCCCUGUCUCCACUCUCCAUCUUCUGACCCCAGUACCACAGGAAGAGGGGAGGCUGGUGACCGUCAGUUUGGUGAAGCCAUGGGGAAGAUCUAGGCCUGCACCCGAUCACAGCCUCCUCUCACAGCCCCUCCCGGGGUUCCCCAUAUGUCUUCUCCCCUUGUCUUGACGCGUCCAUCCCCUGUCCUCCUCCUGAGGAAUCUCACGCAGUUCUGGGGCUUCAGGAACUGCUCCAGGAGAACUGCUUUAGGUCUGGUGCCUGCACCUGUGUGGGCAACCCAGACCUCGCUCACUGGCUUCCCACCCAGACACCCGGUUCCCUCCUGGACAGCUUCCCAUGCCUGUCCCAGAGGAAACCAACUCAGUGCGGCCCAAGCCAACCUCCUUCGGGAGAGUGGUGAACGUUUACCAGAAAGCAAAACAAACAUCAAGAACAGAGGCACGGGCAGGCCGCCUCCGAGAGACAGGCAGGCAGGCCAGCCCCAGGCUUCCUUGCCCCCUGCUCCUUCAUCUGGAGCUGGGUCUCACAUCGCCAUUUCCUAAACCUCUCUGAUUUGCAAUACCUGACAUUAACCAUUUGAAACCUGUCAACCAAAGAAACAAAACUGAGUUUAAAAAUAAGAACUUUAAAAAGCAUAGCACUGUUACUGGGGCUUAAAAAGGAAGGAAAUUCUGCCACUCACUACAACAUGGAUGCAUCUUCAGGACUGAUAUGGUUUGGCUCUGUGUCCCCACCUAAAUCUCACCUUGAAUUGUAAUCAUCCCCACAUGUCAAGGGUGGGGCCAGGUGGAGCUAACUGAAUUAUGGGGAUGGUUUCCCCCAUACUGUUCUCAUGAUAGUGAGUUCUCCUGAGAUCUAGUUUUAUAAGCAUCUGACAUUUCCCCUGCUGGUACAUUCUCUCUUUGCCUGCUGCCAUCCAUGUAAGACGUGACUUGCUCCUCCUUGCCUUCUGCCAUGAUUGUGAGGUUUCUCCAGCCACGUGGAAAUGUAAGUUGAUUAAACCUCUUUCUUUUGUAAAUUGCCCAGUCUUGGUUAUGUCUUUAUCAGUAGCAUGAACAUGGACUAAUACAAGGACAUUAUACUAAACGAAGUAAGCCAGUCACAAAAGGACAAACACUGCCUGAUUCCACUUCUGUGAGGUCCCUAGAGUAGUCACACUCAAAGUGACAGAAAGUAGAAUAGAUUAACAGAGGGUGGGGGAAGGAUGGGAUGCAGAGGUAUUUAAUGCACAUGGAAUUUCUGUUUAGGAUGAUGAGCAAGUUCUGGAGACGGACAAUGGUGACAGUUGCACAAAAAUGUGAUAUGUUUAAUGCCACUGAACUGUCAUUUAAACAUGGGUACAAUGGUAAAUUUUAUGUUACAUAUAUUUUACCACAAUUUAAAACAAUGAAAAAAAUAUUAAAAAUGGACACAGGUUUGCAUUAUGUGUAUAUAUAUAUGUACACUCUCUAUGUGUGUGUGUGUGUGUAUAUAUAUAUAUAUAUACACACAGACACAUACACACACACACACACAUGCACACUAUAUAAAUACGCACAUAUAUGAGACCUGAUGUGACAUUAGUAAGAUUAUCUUCAGAUGGUUAGUUUAUCAACACUGUGUUUGUAAGGUAGGUGCUAUAUUGAUAAUGUGCCAAGAUUUUAUUUUUUAUUACAGGAAAGUUACCUAGUUUUUAAACACAUGAAAUAUUUAGAAAGAAUAAAGAUCUAAGGUAAUUUUUUUAAAUGUGAAAGACUAAGAAAAGCCCAUGAAACAGGCCUUUUUUCUAUGUUUAUUCUUAGACACUCUAGUUAAUUAAACCCAAUGAGGAAGAAAAAUCAACAUGAAGGCAAAAAUGUUGCCUGAAUCAACAGUUGUAGCCUUUUGUUCUCUCUCACUGAUGAGCUAGAAGUGUUGAAAGAAGAGAUGUUUUUGAAAGGUGCUAUAAAAAGGAGAAAAAGGCAACUUUUAAAACGGAUGAAUUCUAUCUACCUAUGAUCUUUCCUUUUAAAUACACUUAUUUUCUUUGAGACGCUGCUCUGUUUUGAUAUAAAAAGAAGCAGAUGGCCUCAGAGUUAGACUUUGUUCAGAGGGAACUAAACUUUCCAGUUAUUUGAAAUAUCUAUCGGUGUCAUCCCAUUCCUUGUUCUGGAACUUCUAGGCAGGAUUCAGUACUAUUCUUAAUUGCUUUUACUUCUUAAGUAAAGAAUUCUUGGAUUAAAAAAAAAUCAAGCACCAGCAUGACUAAUCUGACUUCCUUCCCCCUCCUGAGUGAAAUAACUCAUUUGUUUCUAGACCAUUAAAUUCCAAUCAGGUGAGAAGCAGAUAACAAAUCACUCUUGUUGGAGAGCAGAGAAAUCGCCCAGAAAUCACAGCACUGGGAGUCCAGGGGAGGUGCCAGUGGCACCCACGCGGCAGGGGGUCGCCGUAGGGGGCCAAUGACUGGGUCACCCAGUGCCCGGAGGUGACCUGGCAGUGCCACCCGCCAGCCCCGCCUAGCCACCUUAUGUAAUGGGUUAGGACUGUUCCUGGGUUGUGCGGCUGCGCCUGGCAAAAGGAGAGCCCAGUAUGCGAGAACCAGAACCUUCGGGUGGACAGAGACACAUUCACAAAAGCCAAGGCAGACAGCUGAAAACUCACUGUGCGGUGUGCCUUAACUAGAAAUGCGUUGACUUUUCCAACCUCUGGCGCCUUGAUGUGGGUAACCACCACAAAACCUGAUGUCUGCACUUACCGGCAGGAAAUUGACAUAUCACUGAAGAUACACAAUUUUGGCCUACUUGCUGUUAAGAUUCCUUGUUUUACAACAGGAAGGAGGAGGCCGGACAAUAAGAGCUGAUGACUAAGACUAAGGAAAUCCUGUCUGAGCUAAGACUGUCUUGGGAGGAGAAGGGAAGAGGGCGCUGAAAUCUGGCGGGAACAGCUAGGAAAGGAAGGUGGAUUUCAGACAGGACAGGAGAUCACCUCAGGUCCCUACUUGGUCUUGAAUUGUAACUUGGAUGCUUGUUACAAUUAGGACAACUACCAAAUAAGGAAGAAAGGGAAGGAGGUGAGGUUCUUCCCUGAAAUUUCCAGCGGGAAUCUUCCUCAGGGAACCCACGUCUUGGCCUGACUCACCUGGCUGUUGGAGGGUACGGGCUAGUCUGGGAGGCCUUUCCAUGCUAAUCUGAGAAGUAGUUGCGCUGCUAGGAAAUGGUAUGGAGGGAAUCUUUCUGCUCUCUCAAGAAGGAAACUCUCUCCUAAGAUUCUGUUCUGCAUUUUUAUGUCAUGUUGCCAAACCAAAGCCUCUUGAGUUUUCUUGCUUUGCUAAAUUAUACUUGCAUCUCAUGGUUAUUUGAACAAAUUGUUCUUUGUUUAUAAGUGUUUCCAUUUGUUCUGGAAAUAAGUUAGUUACACCUUGACUGAAAUUUAAUUAAUAUUAAAAUGUUUCCUUUGGGUGACAUUUCCUAAACUUAAGGAAAAUGGAAAUAACCGUCUCAAGGCAUCAGGAAGGCGCAUCUCCACCAGUUCUCACUCAGCGGCCAUCUGCUCAGAGCCACCAGGGUCUCAGCACUCCAGGCACCAGAAUCGUGAAGACUAAAACCUCCCCCCACAGGCCCCCGCACCCACCAGUCCUGCUGACCCACUUCCUCCUGUCCCAGUACCAUGGCUAAGGUAACUCUAGGCUAAGAUGACUGCACUCAGGAGAGGCCCUUCAAGGAUGACCAAGAAAUACGUGAGAAUGGGCAAAGGGACAAUUUCACCUGCAGAACCGAGAAUCCUGCAGACACAACCCCCAACCUGCCCAUAAUGAAAUAUGGAAUAUUUCAUUAUUUCAUACUGUUAACUAGAGUUAACAAUAACUCUAGUUAACUUGAACUUCACUCUCUGUGGCUUCAAGUUCUUUAGGUAUUGAGGAUGAAGACCUAAAAAACAACAACCUAAAGCCAGGUAGAUGUGAACUAGUGUUGAUCAAGCACCGCAAUGCUAAGAUUGCUAAACUCUCUACAGCCAAUUUCUUCUUGCUCCUCUGGGCACGUGCAUAAGGUAAGAACUAUUUUAACCCAGUUUUAGAAAUGUAACUACAGUGUAAAGAGUUGAAUACUCGCACCAACAUCACCUGGCUGGGCAGCAGCAACAGCAGUUUCGAACCCAAGACCCCAGCUGGCCCUAUUUCUGUGGGGCCCAUGCCUGAGUCCUGACAUUUCCUGUGAGCAGGGUGAGUGGGGGCUCUUAUAGGUGCUUGCUGAUGAGUACAACUGCAUACAAAAUCAAUCGUACUGAACGUCUCAUAUAGAACAAAUAAAGUGGCUCUCAAAUAGUGAACGUCUGCAGGUUGCUUUCUUACCAUGAAUAAUCCUAGAUGACAUAUUUAAAGUAAAGUUGGGUCAGAUAUUUGGACAACCCAAACCAUACCCGCGCGCACACACACACUGAUCAGACUUCACGGUUCCUUGCUUGUCCUUGCUCUGACCCAGACACGAGUCCAUGGUGUUCUAGAACUCGUGAGUGAAUUAUUCCUAGCAGCAUCAGACAUGUUCAUUUAAUGAACGAAUGUCACAUACAUGAGACCCUGGGACAUAGUUUUCAGUAUUCCCGUUUACAGAUGAAGACAAGCAUUCUCAGAAAGGAAAAGUGACUUUUCCCAGUCGCUGGGCUCAAGCCCACAGGCUCCACUUCUUUUUAACAGACCACACCUAUCCUCCUGUUGGCGCAUGGGGACUUCCAUGAAAAACAGCAGCACAAACACGGGGCGGUGAGAGAAGACCCAGCGUAAGGAAGCUGGCAUUGGUCCAGGGAAAAUGGAAUCCCCUGUCUCUCUGUAGUGCCCACUGGGUUUCCUGUACGUCUAAGAUAAUUUUGGGAAGGUCUCUUUUGCCCAUAGCGUUUCAGUAAGUCUUUCUCUAAAUUAGGACUAGCAGAAUUUUCCAACAGCCAAACAUAAAGCCGUGUUUGCCCCUCCUUUUCCCCUUUACAUAGCUGCAGCAGCAUUUACCCCAGUGGCCCGGAGUUUCAAGCCAGACUUGGAGAGGGCCGGUUGGGGGUUGUGUCUGCAGGACUCUUGGUUCUGCAGGUGAAAUUGUCCCUUUGCCCAUUCUCAUGUAUUUCUUGGUCAUCCUUUAAGGGCCUCUCCUGAGUGCAGUCAUCUUAGCCUUUACUUUUCAGAGUUCAUGAGGCUACUCAGUCACCCUCCCGCCUCUGUCCAGCCUCUCUGCAGAAGGGACCCUAAAGAAACAGGUCUGUUUGAUGCUCCCCAGAGGCAGGUAUAGUCUUUUUCUGCCUUGGCUGCUCCCAUGAAGAAAGAAACCAGGAGCGUCCUCCGGCUAAGUGUGUGUGUGUGUACACGCAUGAGCAUGUGUGUUUAUGUGUGUGUACAUGUGUUUCUGUGUGUGUGUGGGUGCAAGUGUGUGUCUCUGUGUAUUUGCAUCUAUGUGUAUGUGCGUGUGUGUGUGCAUCUGUGUGUAUGUGUGAGUGUGGUGCAAGUGUGUCUAUAUGUACAUGUGUGUGUCUGUGUGUGUGGGGUGCACGUGUGUGUCUAUGUGUGCAUCUCUGUGUCUAUGUGCAUGUGUGUGUGCAUCUGUGUGUCUGUAUGUGUGUGUGGGGUGCAAGUGUGUCUAUAUGUGCAUGUGUGUGUCUGUAUGUGUGUGCUGGGUGCAUGUGUGUGUCUACGUGUGCCUGUGUGUCUAUGUGCAUGCAUGUAUGUGUGCAUCUGUGUGUCUGUGUGUGUGUGAGUACAGGGUGCAUAUGUAUGUGUGUGUUCUCUCUCUCUUUUAUCUCUAUCAUCUAUGUCUGUAUAUUCCAUGUAGAUUGAUAACAUAUUUUCUACAUAUAAUAUACAUAUCUAUGUUUUACAUGUACCACAAUUUCUGUAUUUUGACGUGUAUAUAUAUUCUGUGGCUGGGGCUUAUUCACCUAGCCAGUGGUUAAGAGCAGAGGUUUUAGAAUCGGCAAGUUCUAGGUUUCACUCCCCACUUUGUUCCUAUUGACCUACCAGGUGCCUUCCUGCACAUGCCUCAGUUUACCCAUCUGUGAACCAUCCGUGGCUUAGAGCAGUUUGCAGCACCAGUGGCUCAGCAAACAGGAUUUGCUAUGUUUCUUCGCAGGGUGUUUUAGCUGCUCCGAGAGGUUCUGGAAUGCUGGAAGCAUCUUCAGGAUGCUCUCUUAGGUUUGGUUCUGGUGAUCCCACAAAGAAUCUCCCAGGGGACCUCUUCCUUUCACCUAAUCUGGAGCCAGUGUCACUGGAAGGCGGGGAGGACAGAGCGGGAAGGAGGGCCGGGCUGGUGGCUCCAGGGCCUGCAUCGCUGCGAUGCUCCUUCCCGACACAGUUUGCAAUGAUUGCAUCACGGCUGCCAAUCGGCAUCUCCUUUCUCUCGUGGACAAACCAUGGCUUUUGAUGCAGUCCAGGGCACGUGUGUCUGACCCUGUGCACCAACAGAAGCCCUUUUCCUGGAUCUCACAGGGUCCCAUUACUCCACAGUCAGGGAUCCAAAAACACUCAACAUGUGGAAAAAUAUUGUUAUAUAAUAUUUACCACCAGGUACCAGAUAAUCAGUCCAUGAAAUUCAAAAACACACAUUCUUCUCUAAUUCCCACAUGAGAGAUCACUGAACUGGGUAAAAGCAACAAAACAGGAAUUCUAUGGGUGGGGUUGAAACAAUCCCUAGGAAAAAAUGCAAAUCUUUCAGACUGAUCCAUGAUUCCUUUAUCAUCAUAUACGGCUAGUUUUAUCCAGUGGGAGAAAGCAGAUAAUUUGGGAAAAAAAAACCCACAGUAAGAAUAAAUACAUUUUAAUCUCCUCUUUUAUUAAUAGUUCCAUGACUGUACUCCUCAUCCAAAGGAUCUGCUUGCAUUGCUGCCAACUAACUGCAAUCAUUUAUGUAACAAGCUCUGUUGAGGGCCCACUGUAUUUCAGGCCUCGGGCAGAUAAAGGUACCCAUGAAUCAUUCCAUGAGGGCCGAUGCAAGAUGCCCUGAACUUGGACUGUGGGAACAGCAAUGUCAGCUAAAGAAGACAUGUUACUGGGAGAAAAAGUGGAUGAUGGCAGGGCGUGGUGGCUCAUGCCUGUAAUCCCAGCACUUUGGGAGGCUGAGGUAGGCGGAUCACCUGAGAUCAGGAGUUUGAAACCAGCCUGGCCAACAUGGUGAAACCCUGUCUCUACUAAAAAUACGUAAGUUAGCUGAGAAUGGUGACUCGUGCCUGUAAUCCCAGCUACUUGGGAGGCUGAGGCAGGAGAAUCACUUGAACUCAGGAGGCAGAGGUUGCAGGGAGCCAAGAUCACGCCACUGCACUCCAGCCUGGGUGACAGAGUGAGACUCCACCUCUAAAACAAAAACGAAAACAAACAAACAAAAAAAGUGGAUGAUGGGUGAAGACAAAUGUUUCAAGUCUAUAGAGCUACAAUCAUGACUUAUAAUCCUCGAUCCUAAAGAAUUUAAAAUCCUAUCAGUGGAGAAGACACUUUAGCUAGACCCUGAAAUGGGCCUCAGUUGCAAAGGACAGAGGCUCCAGCCAUGUGCAGGUGUGUGAUACCUGCUGCGGGUCACCUGAUAGAAAGGGACAGGCCAUCCUUAUCCCCCCGGGGCUAAGGCCUGGAGUGCAGACAGGGUGUGCAGAGCAGAACUGGCAGGGGCCGGGCAGAGGCGGCUCUGCUCAUGCUUCUCAUUUCCAGUUAUCAAUGGCAGGGUGAUGACAGGCAACUGUGCAAGGCAACAGCCACUGGCCAUCCUGGCUCCAGGCCCCUUUCCCUUGGCCCCUAACUAACACAGAAGCUGAGGCCACUGAGAGGCUGGGACUCUGAAUCCCACUGCCAUGGCCUGUCCCUUUCUAUCAGGUGACCCACGUGUGCAGGAGGCCUAAGUCCUCCACCAGCCACCAGCCACCUGCCACCUGCCCGUCCCUGUGGCCCAUGGGGUUUCCUAGGCAGGCGGGAAGGGGGCUCCCAUUCUGUGCAGCCCAGGAGGGCACGAGGGUACUGCCUGAUGCGUUCCUAGGGGUGAGCGCGUAUGGGCAGCACCGGGCUCCUCCACUGUCAGUUUUCUGUCCUUGCAGCGACACUGUGAUACAAGCCUGCCCUUCCAUCUUGGGCUCAGGAAACAACGGAGCGGCCACUUCCCUCCCCAGCGAAGAAGAGGCCCCAUGACAGCUCCACCGGGCCUCCCAUGUGGUGCUGCAGAAACUCCACAGGGAAACCUCCCCGUCUUCACAAAUGACUCCACCCACGGCCAGGGGACAAAAAUCCUUUUACUCAGGCUUCGCUUGGGUCUACCUCUGCUGUAUUUUCCACUAAGUGGAAGAGACUUCUGUUCACUUACUCUAUGAGAGAAAAGAAUGGGAGCAACAUUUCCCUCUUGCUGCCCACAUCUGCUCAUUCGAGACUGGCUGCUUUCAGCCUUCUCCAUGCACUUGUCCAUCUGACCCAUGCACACCAAAUGUGACUGGCUGCUGACUCCUGGGAGCAUUUUAAAAUUCUGAAGCAAUUGAGAUUUGCAGAAGAGUUGCAGAGAUAGUACAGAGAGUCCCUGUAUACCCUUCACCCAGACAUCAUGAUGUCAUAUUGACAUUUUAUAAAACUAUGGCACAUUUCUGUGAAAACUAAGAAAUCAACAUUGGUACAGAAAUCAACAUUAUCACAUUGAACUGCAGCCUCCGCUAGAAUCUCACCAGUUUUUCCACUAGUGCAGCUUUUCUGUCCCAGGACCCGCCCCAGGAUACCAGGCUGCACUUCAAAGGAGCCGGUUUUACAAAAAAGCAUGUUGCUUCAAAAGGCAGCUUCAUCCAAGGCAACAGAAGACAGUGAAGCAGAGUACUCAGGAGCCAGCCAGGAGCUCAGGAGACAGGGGAGGGGCUGGAACCCAGCACCGAGACAGAGUCUUGCUCCGUCGCCCAGACUGGAGAGCAGUGGUGCUAUUUCGGCUUACUGCAACCUCGGCCUCCUGGGUUCAAGCAAUUCUUGUGCCUCAGCCUCCUGAGUAGCUGGAAUUACAGGCAAGCGCCACCAAGCCCGGCUGAUUUUUUUGUAUUUUAGUAGAGACAGGGUUUUACCGUGUUUCUCCCAGGGUGGUCUCGAACUCCUGAGCUCAGGCAAUCCACAGGCCGCGGCCUCCCAAAGUGCUAAGAUUACAGGCGUGAGCCGCCAUGCCCAGGCUAAUACCUAGAUCUUUAGACCUAGGUGCUUGGUGGUCUUUCUACCAAUUUUAGGAUGAGUUCAGAAAAGAAUACCUGGGACUCCCACCAUCCUUAGGCAUGAACAUAUGGAAAUUAUAAAAGUGGCUCUAAGGGACAAAGGGGUGCAGGUGGCAGCACAACCAAAGCACACACAGCCCGAUGUGGUAUUUUCUAGGGAUCGCCCCCUUCUUUGAGUGUGCGUGCGUGCGCGUGCAUGCAUUGCUUCUGGUUCAUAAAUCUGAGCCAAGUCUUACAUGCAGUACAGACCUGUGCAUUAGAAUUCACAGGGUCACUGGGCUAGUUCAAAUAUCUAGGUUCUGAUCUUAAGUCGGGGCUGGGACGAAGAGACAGACCUGAACUGGAAGAAAACUUUGGCCUGGAGUGCUCUGGUCAAAGUCUCCGAGUCCUCCUCUUACUUCCCAAACCGAGCUUUGAACCGGAACCAACAGCAGCGGAAAAGUAAAGUUAGCAGCUCUUCCCCAAGUGGGAGUAGCUCCUCAUCACUCACUGCCUUUAAAAUCCUGGUUUGUUUUACAUCAGGGCAGAACGAUGUAAAAACAACAGAAUUCAAAUGAAAUCAUGAACACGUUUGCCCUUUGUACCUGUGUACUGCUCUGGCACAGUGCGCGCUGAGGAGGGAGGGGUCGUUCCCAGGAGGAAUCCACCUGGGCCCCGGCUGCCACAGGGCAGGGCUACUCCAUCGGCCACAGUAAGGAGAGGAGGGACAGCGGACAUCUCGAAAGCUCCCUCCGCUUUCAGCUCCUGUCUAAACAUUUGAGUCCUGCACCGAAUUCACCUACCAAACCUCUUCAUUUUAGCCAUGGUUACAUAAAGCUCAGUAAAAGUGGCUCCUACUCUUUAAACAAAACGUAUAAAAUGGACAAAGCCUCGCAGUGCAGUCGCCAGCUGCACCCACGGUAUCGGCAGGGCUGUGCACGGCCGGCGUGGAGGGGCAGGCUCGGCGAACAGGAUCCCAGUGUGGCGCCCGGAGCAGCUCUUCCAGGGCCGGAACAGGACUUGGGAGAAAACGCGGUUUUUCUGCCAUUGUUCCCUCGCAAUGCUUCAAUUCAAACAAUACUAAGGUUGUCUCGUUCGCCUCCUCGCCCCGCCCCUUUACCCAGAGACUCCCAUUUAAAAACACAAAAAACCCUCAGUCCGUGACAGAGACUCCCCACCAGCUCCCGAGUUCCAGGAAAACUUUUUUCGCCCUAAGCCUGGCGUCUCACUGCCUAGUGACUGACACACUUUCCUGGCCUCUACGGCUGCAGCUUUGCCCAAAGCAACGAAAACGGUGCCUCAGGCUACAUUUUAAGUUCCCAGUUCCCGUGAAAGGCCGACGCUUGCAAAACACAGGAUUGACGCUGGGAACCCAAGGGGAAGGAAAGGUGGAAAGCAUGAUGAGGGAAGAGCAAGCUUUCUCAGAACCUUGGUGGGCAGCCUGGCGAACAUCCACACGCACACACACACUCGGGAGCGCACGGACGAGCUGCCUUCUCCAAGGCCACUCAAACGUCCCAACCACUCUCGGGCGCGCAAGUCCAAGCGCG
rnacentral:lncRNA from 1 species